rnacentral:rRNA from 1 species
AGAGUUUGAUCCUGGCUCAGGGUGAAUGCUGGCGGCGUGGAUAAGUCAUGCAAGUCAAGGGGGCCCGCAAGGGCAACCGGCAAACGAGGUAGUAACACGUAGGUAGACCCCCCAGAGUCGGGCAUAGCCAGCCGAAAGGUUGGGUAAUUCCCGAUAGUCCCGAAAGGGUAAAGGUUUUUCGCUCUGGGAGUUGCCUGCUCGGUAUCAGCUAGUUGGUGAGGUAAAAGCUCACCGAGGCUAUGACGCCUAGGGGACCUGAGAGGGUGACCCCCACCGAUGGAACUGAGAUACGGUCCAUACACCUACGGGGUGGCCGCAGUCGAGAAUCUUCCGCAAUGGACGCAAGUCUGACGGAGCGACGCCGCGUGGAUGAUGAAACUCUUCGGAGUGUAAAAUCCUUUGCCAGGGAGAAAGUUUAUUGAUAGUACUUGGCGAAUAAGAGGUUGCUAAACUCGUG